rnacentral:rRNA from 1 species
AGAGUUUGAUCCUGGCUCAGAAUCAACGCUGGCGGCGUGCCUAACACAUGCAAGUCGAACGAGAAAGUGGAGCAAUCCAUGAGUAAAGUGGCGACCGGGUGAGUAACACGUGACCAAUCUACCCUUGAGUGGGGGAUAACCGCGGGAAACCGCGGCUAAUACCGCAUAAUAUCUUCGAAACGCAGGUUUUGGAGAUCAAAGGAGCAAUCCGCUUAUGGAGGAGGUCGCGGCUGAUUAGCUAGUUGGUAGGGUAAUGGCCUACCAAGGCUUAGAUCGGUAGCCGGCCUGAGAGGGCGCACGGCCACACUGGAACUGAAACACGGUCCAGACUCCUACGGGAGGCAGCAGUGGGGAAUUUUGCGCAAUGGGGGAAACCCUGACGCAGCAACGCCGCGUGGAGGAUGAAGUCCCUUGGGACGUAAACUCCUUUCGACCGGGACGAUAAUGACGGUACCGGUGGAAGAAGCACCGGCUAACUCUGUGCCAGCAGCCGCGGUAAUAC